GCUCUCCAGAAGAAGGGUUGGACACCCCUGUGCUAGAUGCUCUCCAGAAGAAGGGUUGGACACCCCUGUGCUAGAUAACACCCAGUAACAGUACACUACCCAAUAGAAGGAUCAGAUAAAUACAGAAGUAUCUGGACAAACAUUCA